GAGGCGUGGCUUCCGGAGCUAACGCGUUAAAUCGACCGCCUGGGGAGUACGGCCGCAAGGUUAAAACUCAAAUGAAUUGACGGGGGCCCGCACAAGCGGUGGAGCAUGUGGUUUAAUUCGAUGCAACGCGAAGAACCUUACCUACUCUUGACAUCCACGGAACUUGCCAGAGAUGGCUUGGUGCCUUCGGGAACCGUGAGACAGGUGCUGCAUGGCUGUCGUCAGCUCGUGUUGUGAAAUGUUGGGUUAAGUCCCGCAACGAGCGCAACCCUUAUCCUUUGUUGCCAGCGGUUCGGCCGGGAACUCAAAGGAGACUGCCAGUGAUAAACUGGAGGAAGGUGGGGAUGACGUCAAGUCAUCAUGGCCCUUACGAGUAGGGCUACACACGUGCUACAAUGGCGUAUACAAAGAGAAGCGAACUUGCGAGAGUAAGCGGACCUCAUAAAGUACGUCGUAGUCCGGAUUGGAGUCUGCAACUCGACUCCAUGAAGUCGGAAUCGCUAGUAAUCGUAGAUCAGAAUGCUACGGUGAAUACGUUCCCGGGCCUUGUACACACCGCCCGUCACACCAUGGGAGUGGGUUGCAAAAGAAGUAGGUAGCUUAACCUUCGGGAGGGCGCUUACCACUUUGUGAUUCAUGACUGGGGUGAAGUCGUAACAGG
rnacentral:rRNA from 1 species